GCUCUCGUAGCUCAGCUGGAUAGAGCGCGUGAUUCCUAAUCACGAGGUCACAGGUUCGAGUCCUGUCGGGAGCACCA
rnacentral:tRNA from 1 species